ensembl:lncRNA
UUUUUAAAAAAAGAGAAAAGAAUCUUAUAGUAUUUCACAGUUAAGAGUAUCUCACCAGUACUGUAGGGGCAUUUUUCUGACAUCUUUGUCAGUACGCAAUAGGGAAUUCAGGAAUGUGGAAAAAAGAAUGGAACUGUUCAAGGCCGGCCUUUAAGGAAUGCGUGCUACCAUUUUUUUCAGUCUUGGAUUCUGUGAAGCACUUUCAGCACGGCUUGACUCUCUCAGCCAAACCCUGUGUGUGUGUUUAUGCAGAAGCAGAUCAUUGUGACUUUACUAAAGUAUACUCCCAUGUAAGUGUGUGCAGGAUUACAGCCUUUAGUUUGCUUCAGGGGACAUUACAGAACUCAUCAGCCUCCUAGCAACAGUAAGCCUCCAUUGGCUCAUUUGGAUUCUCAUUAUGAUUCAUCCGUUGACCCAAACAAGGGAUUUCUUUAUCUCCCAUUCUCUGUUUUCUGGAAGCACGGAGGCAAGAGUGCAUGUACAGUAAUACAUUUUACAGAAUUUGACCAUUGCUGAGCUUCUAACCCUUCCUUUCUAACCUUUUUUUUUAAAAAAAAUCAUCAUCAUCAUCAUCAUGAUAAGUCCAUCUUACCUGCUUUGACUUGCUUCUGGGCUCACAGCAUUCUCAGAUGGGGCUGCAACAAGAAAGAAAGAAAAACUCUGAAGAAAGCAAGAACACGACACCUUCAAGACAUUUGAGACCCCUGGCGUUCCUCCAGCAGUACCUCCAGCUCAACAGCUGUUGAAGAAUGCCCUUGCGUACCUUACACUUCUAUUCUAAUAUACAGCCAUGGUGGGAGGAAAGACAAAUAUUUCGGGGAAAUAAUGGCAUCGUUUCCUACCUGCCAUAGUUCACGUUGGCCAUGUGCUGCACUAAGCAAGAAGUUUUGUCUCAUCCAAGCCACAAACCUAGAACAGAUAAAGAUUUAAUAAUUAACAAGAACUUGAGGAGGAACUUGAGUGUGAGAGGCAGUUAAGAAACGGAGAAACCCAAAACUGGGAUGGGGGGAAAUCCGGUUCUAUUGUAGAGGCUAUGGAAAGACUUCCUGAGAUCAUGAAUACGUACAUGGUUUGCAGAUUGAUCAAAGGCACAUGUUGCAAGAACGGGUCACAUUCUCAGAUGAAUGUCUGUCCCUUUGCAGCUUUGACUUACCCUUCCGAAAGCUUUAGAAACCUGACGUUCUGUAGGAUAAGUGAAGGAAAUAUAUAUGGGCUGACUUUUCAUAACACUGUAGUGGUAUCUACGCAGAGGCUUCUGCCUGUUGGCCAGUGACGAAACUUGACUGCAUUUCACUGCAUAAAUCAUUUGGAAGGUUUCAAUUUUUAUAUGCCCGUUCUCUUUCUGUUUUACAAGAUUCUCUUUCACUAGUCACUCCUCUUUGCAUUGAUUAGCAAGUAAUGUCCUUCCAGAAUUACAGCUAGUGUUACCGAAGCCAAACCAUUUUGUUUCCUGAUUUAUUGAUACAGGUUUGUGAAGCUGCCCUUCUGCUAAAUCAAAGUCGUCUUUCCUACUGUUUGGAAGCUGCUUCUGUUGCACAUUGUUUGUUGUGGUCACUUCUGUUUGUACGCAGAGGAAUGACCCACCUACCCACAAAAGUUAAACUGGAGGAGCAGAAAGCAACUGAGAAUUUCUGGAGAAACAGGAAAUGAUUACUUCAUGUUCUUCCUGGUUUUGAAAAUGGCCUCCCAUUCUUAGUGAUUUCUUUGAAGCAUGUUGAAAAAGAUGAUUUGCAGUGGUUGAAGGCUGUUUACUAUGAAACCUUCUUUGUUCUUUACUCUCACAGUCCUCAUCAUGAGUUGCCCGCCCUAUACCUUGUCAUAACCUUUCUAAGUUUGUUGAUGAAGUCACGUUUUGAAGUAAUGGCAUCAGGGACAUGCAGUAACUGAGGUUGUGACUAGGUGAUCAAAUAUUGCAGGAUUUGCUAUGGUGAUAGCCGGGGUUGAUUUGAAGUUGUUGUUGGUUUUUUCCUGUUCACAUGGUGCAAAGUCUGAUUCAAAUCAGUCCAGCCCUUUUGCUCCCAAUGCAGCUUUUUCUCCUUUGCAGCUGGAAGCUUUUAUAUUUUUUUCAAGUUGGAAUGACUCAAGCAGACUUUUCACCAUGUGAUCUGUUGACUUGUUCUUGUAAAGACUUGGGGGGGCAUGCUUGUGGGUAGUAUUUCAGUGAUGUAGGCAGCUGUGGUGUGAUUUCAGGACCGCAAGAACACCUGCUGCCAUGUUCUUUCCAACAAUCAUCCUCAUAUACAGUAUAUACAUACAUACAGAGAGAGAGAGAAAGAAUAUGCGGUCAUGAAGCGACUCAGACAAAAUAAAAGGUGUUCCCACGGCA